AGAGUAGAGGUUGCGCUGAUUAUCAGUAAGCUGCCUGAUGCAGCAGGUGCACAGGAGGGCAGUGGAAAGGAAGAAGCGCCGAAGAACAGAGUUGCCUGACCAUAUCUGUUCUGGGUAUAGAGCGAACAGCUGUAUAACUGUCAUCCAGCCGGAUGGAGAGCUACUUGA
rnacentral:ncRNA from 1 species